CCUACGGGGUGCACCAGUGGGGAAUAUUGGACAAUGGGCGAAAGCCUGAUCCAGCAAUGCCGCGUGUGUGAAGAAGGUCUUCGGAUUGUAAAGCACUUUCAGUAGGGAGGAAGGUAGUGUAGUUAACACCUGCAUUAUUCGACGUUACCUACAGAAGAAGCACCGGCUAACUCCGUGCCAGCAGCCGCGGUAAUACGGAGGGUGCGAGCGUUAAUCGGAAUUACUGGGCGUAAAGCGCAUGCAGGCGGCCUGUUAAGUCAGAUGUGAAAGCCCGGGGCUUAACCUCGGAAUUGCAUUUGAAACUGGCAGGCUAGAGUCUUGUAGAGGGGGGUAGAAUUUCAGGUGUAGCGGUGAAAUGCGUAGAGAUCUGAAGGAAUACCAGUGGCGAAGGCGGCCCCCUGGACAAAGACUGACGCUCAGAUGCGAAAGCGUGGGGAGCAAACAGGAUUAGAUACCCGCGUAGUC
rnacentral:rRNA from 1 species